AGAACAUCCUUACGAAACAAUGUCAUAAAACCAGAGUUGAGAAACUAUAUACAAAAAGAAUAAAUACCUUCUAUAACCAACAAUUUUCAGCAAAUCGAGAACAU